UACGUAGGGGGCAAGCGUUGUCCGGAUUUAUUGGGCGUAAAGAGCGUGUAGGCGGCCAAGCAGGUCCGCUGUGAAACUCGAGGCUCAACCUCGAGAGGUCGGUGGAAACCGUUUGGCUAGAGUCCGGAAGAGGAGAGUGGAAUUCCCGGUGUAGCGGUGAAAUGCGCAGAUAUCGGGAAGAACACCCGUGGCGAAGGCGGCGCUCUGGGACGGUACUGACGCUGAAGACGGCGAAAGCGUGGGGAGCGAACAGGGAUUGAGAUACCC
rnacentral:rRNA from 1 species